rnacentral:rRNA from 1 species
UACAGAGGUCUCGAGCGUUGUUCGGAUUCAUUGGGCGUAAAGGGUGCGUAGGCUGUGGAGUAAGUCUGAUGUGAAAUCCCGGAGCUCAACUUCGGAACUGCAUUGGAUACUGCUUUACUAGAGUACUGGAGAGGAGAUUGGAAUUUACGGUGUAGCAGUGAAAUGCGUAGAUAUCGUAAGGAAGACCAGUGGCGAAGGCGAAUCUCUGGACAGUUACUGACGCUGAGGCACGAAGGCCAGGGGAG